GAAUGCAAGGACAGUCUGGCUGUGACUUCUGUCACUCCAUUGAUCACCAGGGGUGAUAGGAAUGAGCUGGCUGGGUGAGUGGGUGUUCCAUCUCUCCCUCACCACUCCUGUGCGUCCCUUGUAAAACUGUGCCCUCGAUCAGCAGACGAGGACAUUCUUCUCUGAACUGACGAGGACUGGUCUUUGGUCAAAGGUCUGCGAGUAGCUGUGUCUCCUGCUAGACCCUCCAAACAAGCUCUCAGAGUCAUUUUCUGUAAAACGCCUUACGGGCAGAGAUCCCUGUUGGUAGCAUCUUCAGCGACAGGGUUCUGAAGCCUGGGGCCAUAGGAA
rnacentral:snRNA from 1 species